AGAGUUUGAUCAUGGCUCAGAUUGAACGCUGGCGGCAGGCCUAACACAUGCAAGUCGAGCGGUAGCACAGAGAGCUUGCUCUCGGGUGACGAGCGGCGGACGGGUGAGUAAUGUCUGGGAAACUGCCUGAUGGAGGGGGAUAACUACUGGAAACGGUAGCUAAUACCGCAUAACGUCGCAAGACCAAAGUGGGGGACCUUCGGGCCUCAUGCCAUCAGAUGUGCCCAGAUGGGAUUAGCUAGUAGGUGGGGUAAUGGCUCACCUAGGCGACGAUCCCUAGCUGGUCUGAGAGGAUGACCAGCCACACUGGAACUGAGACACGGUCCAGACUCCUACGGGAGGCAGCAGUGGGGAAUAUUGCACAAUGGGCGCAAGCCUGAUGCAGCCAUGCCGCGUGUAUGAAGAAGGCCUUCGGGUUGUAAAGUACUUUCAGCGAGGAGGAAGGCGUUAAGGUUAAUAACCUUGGCGAUUGACGUUACUCGCAGAAGAAGCACCGGCUAACUCCGUGCCAGCAGCCGCGGUAAUACGGAGGGUGCAAGCGUUAAUCGGAAUUACUGGGCGUAAAGCGCACGCAGGCGGUCUGUCAAGUCGGAUGUGAAAUCCCCGGGCUCAACCUGGGAACUGCAUUCGAAACUGGCAGGCUAGAGUCUUGUAGAGGGGGGUAGAAUUCCAGGUGUAGCGGUGAAAUGCGUAGAGAUCUGGAGGAAUACCGGUGGCGAAGGCGGCCCCCUGGACAAAGACUGACGCUCAGGUGCGAAAGCGUGGGGAGCAAACAGGAUUAGAUACCCUGGUAGUCCACGCCGUAAACGAUGUCGACUUGGAGGUUGUGCCCUUGAGGCGUGGCUUCCGGAGCUAACGCGUUAAGUCGACCGCCUGGGGAGUACGGCCGCAAGGUUAAAACUCAAAUGAAUUGACGGGGGCCCGCACAAGCGGUGGAGCAUGUGGUUUAAUUCGAUGCAACGCGAAGAACCUUACCUACUCUUGACAUCCAGAGAACUUAGCAGAGAUGCUUUGGUGCCUUCGGGAACUCUGAGACAGGUGCUGCAUGGCUGUCGUCAGCUCGUGUUGUGAAAUGUUGGGUUAAGUCCCGCAACGAGCGCAACCCUUAUCCUUUGUUGCCAGCGAUUCGGUCGGGAACUCAAAGGAGACUGCCAGUGAUAAACUGGAGGAAGGUGGGGAUGACGUCAAGUCAUCAUGGCCCUUACGAGUAGGGCUACACACGUGCUACAAUGGCAUAUACAAAGAGAAGCGACCUCGCGAGAGCAAGCGGACCUCAUAAAGUAUGUCGUAGUCCGGAUUGGAGUCUGCAACUCGACUCCAUGAAGUCGGAAUCGCUAGUAAUCGUAGAUCAGAAUGCUACGGUGAAUACGUUCCCGGGCCUUGUACACACCGCCCGUCACACCAUGGGAGUGGGUUGCAAAAGAAGUAGGUAGCUUAACCUUCGGGAGGGCGCUUACCACUUUGUGAUUCAUGACUGGGGUGAAGUCGUAACAAGGUAACCGUAGGGGAACCUGCGGUUGGAUCACCU
rnacentral:rRNA from 7 species